rnacentral:rRNA from 1 species
UACGGAGGGUGCAAGCGUUAUCCGGAUUUACUGGGUUUAAAGGGUGCGUAGGUGGGUCUGUAAGUCAGUGGUGAAAUCUCCGGGCUUAACUCGGAACGGUCAAGUGAUACUGUCGCGCUAGAGUGCGGAAGGGGCAAUCAGAAUUCUUGGUGUAGCGGUGAAAUGCGUAGAUAUCAAGAGGAAUACCUGAGGUGAAGACGGGUUGCUAGGCCGACACUGACGCUAAAGCGCGAAAGCCAGGGGAGCAAACGGG